UAGUGGUGCUGCACAUUAGGACCCUAUCAUCAGUAGGAAGUUUGUUCCUAAGAGCUCUCCACAUGCAAAAUAACCAUUUGAAUAGAAUCUUGUUGUGCCAUGUCAUUUUGUUAGUGAUAUUCAUUUGUUUCUUCUUUCUGGGGAUUUCCCAAGCAGAGGAACAGGUGAAUGUUCCUUUAACAUUAGGAGUCCAGAUUGCCUAAUCUUGUGAAUUGGAGUCUUGAUGAAUUUGUACUUGAGUGAUAGCAUCAAUUUUG
rnacentral:lncRNA from 1 species